UACACUCCUACGGGAGGCAGCAGUGGGGAAUAUUGCACAAUGGGCGCAAGCCUGAUGCAGCCAUGCCGCGUGUAUGAAGAAGGCCUUCGGGUUGUAAAGUACUUUCAGCGGGGAGGAAGGCGAUAAGGUUAAUAACCUUGUUGAUUGACGUUACCCGCAGAAGAAGCACCGGCUAACUCCGUGCCAGCAGCCGCGGUAAUACGGAGGGUGCAAGCGUUAAUCGGAAUUACUGGGCGUAAAGCGCACGCAGGCGGUCUGUCAAGUCGGAUGCGAAAUCCCCGGGCUCAACCUGGGAACUGCAUUCGAAACUGGCAGGCUAGAGUCUUGUAGAGGGGGGUAGAAUUCCAGGUGUAGCGGUGAAAUGCGUAGAGAUCUGGAGGAAUACCGGUGGCGAAGGCGGCCCCCUGGACAAAGACUGACGCUCAGGUGCGAAAGCGUGGGGAGCAAACAGGAUUAGAUACCCCGGUAGUCCC
rnacentral:rRNA from 1 species